rnacentral:tRNA from 1 species
GGAGAGCUGGCCGAGUUGGUCGAAGGCGCUCGCCUGCUAAGCGAGUAGAGUGGCAAAACCACUCUCGAGGGUUCGAAUCCCUCGCUCUCCGCCA